rnacentral:rRNA from 1 species
GCGCACGCUGGCGGCGUGCUUAACACAUGCAAGUCGAACGGAAAGGCCCUGCUUUUGUGGGGUGCUCGAGUGGCGAACGGGUGAGUAACACGUGAGUAACCUGCCCUUGACUUUGGGAUAACUUCAGGAAACUGGGGCUAAUACCGGAUAGGAGCUCCUGCUGCAUGGUGGGGGUUGGAAAGUUUCGGCGGUUGGGGAUGGACUCGCGGCUUAUCAGCUUGUUGGUGGGGUAGUGGCUUACCAAGGCUUUGACGGGUAGCCGGCCUGAGAGGGUGACCGGCCACAUUGGGACUGAGAUACGGCCCAGACUCCUACGGGAGGCAGCAGUGGGGAAUAUUGCACAAUGGGCGGAAGCCUGAUGCAGCAACGCCGCGUGCGGGAUGACGGCCUUCGGGUUGUAAACCGCUUUCGCCUGUGACGAAGCGUGAGUGACGGUAAUGGGUAAAGAAGCACCGGCUAACUACGUG